GAUGAACGCUGGCGGCGUGCCUAAUACAUGCAAGUCGAGCGAACGGACGAGAAGCUUGCUUCUCUGAUGUUAGCGGCGGACGGGUGAGUAACACGUGGAUAACCUACCUAUAAGACUGGGAUAACUUCGGGAAACCGGAGCUAAUACCGGAUAAUAUUGAACCGCAUGGUUCAAAAGUGAAAGACGGUCUUGCUGUCACUUAUAGAUGGAUCCGCGCUGCAUUAGCUAGUUGGUAAGGUAACGGCUUACCAAGGCAACGAUGCAUAGCCGACCUGAGAGGGUGAUCGGCCACACUGGAACUGAGACACGGUCCAGACUCCUACGGGAGGCAGCAGUAGGGAAUCUUCCGCAAUGGGCGAAAGCCUGACGGAGCAACGCCGCGUGAGUGAUGAAGGUCUUCGGAUCGUAAAACUCUGUUAUUAGGGAAGAACAUAUGUGUAAGUAACUGUGCACAUCUUGACGGUACCUAAUCAGAAAGCCACGGCUAACUACGUG
rnacentral:rRNA from 1 species